GCACCAGUGGUCUCAUGGGUAAGACGUUCUCCUUCAUCAGGGCCGCGAGGCCUUCCUAAAAGAGAAAGACGCAAGUUCAAAUCUUGCUUGGUGCACCA
rnacentral:tRNA from 1 species